rnacentral:rRNA from 1 species
GAUGAACGCUGGCGGCGUGCCUAAUACAUGCAAGUCGAGCGAACGGAUGAGAAGCUUGCUCCUCUGACGUUAGCGGCGGACGGGUGAGUAACACGUGGAUAACCUACCUAUAAGACUGGGAUAACUUCGGGAAACCGGAGCUAAUACCGGAUAAUAUUUUGAACCGCAUGGUUCAAAAGUGAAAGACGGUUUUGCUGUCACUUAUAGAUGGAUCCGCGCUGCAUUAGCUAGUUGGUAAGGUAACGGCUUACCAAGGCAACGAUGCAUAGCCGACCUGAGAGGGUGAUCGGCCACACUGGAACUGAGACACGGUCCAGACUCCUACGGGAGGCAGCAGUAGGGAAUCUUCCGCAAUGGGCGAAAGCCUGACGGAGCAACGCCGCGUGAGUGAUGAAGGUCUUCGGAUCGUAAAACUCUGUUAUUAGGGAAGAACAUAUGUGUAAGUAACUGUGCACAUCUUGACGGUACCUAAUCAGAAAGCCACGGCUAACUACGUG